rnacentral:rRNA from 1 species
UGGGGAAUAUUGGACAAUGGGCGAAAGCCUGAUCCAGCCAUGCCGCGUGUGUGAAGAAGGCCUUUUGGUUGUAAAGCACUUUAAGUGGGGAGGAAAAGCUUAUGGUUAAUACCCAUAAGCCCUGACGUUACCCACAGAAUAAGCACCGGCUAACUCUGUGCCAGCAGCCGCGGUAAUACAGAGGGUGCAAGCGUUAAUCGGAAUUACUGGGCGUAAAGCGCGCGUAGGUGGUUAUUUAAGUCAGAUGUGAAAGCCCCGGGCUUAACCUGGGAACUGCAUCUGAUACUGGAUAACUAGAGUAGGUGAGAGGGGAGUAGAAUUCCAGGUGUAGCGGUGAAAUGCGUAGAGAUCUGGAGGAAUACCGAUGGCGAAGGCAGCUCCCUGGCAUCAUACUGACACUGAGGUGCGAAAGCGUGGGUAGCAAACAGGAUUAGAUACCCUGGUAGUCCACGCCGUAAACGAUGUCUACCAGUCGUUGGGUCUUUUAAAGACUUAGUGACGCAGUUAACGCAAUAAGUAGACCGCCUGGGGAGUACGGCCGCAAGGUU